GGGCUAAAGCUAAAGUCCCUGGCUUCUGGCUGGGGUCUUCUAUACCACCCUUUGUUUAUUACACCUUUGUUGCUUUGGCAGGCCUGCCCUCGGGCUGCUGGCUCCGGCCGGCGAGCGCCUGCCAGAGGACCUAAACUCUGUUUGUCUAUAAUGUCUGAGUACUAUAUAAUAGUUAAAACUUUCAACAACGGAUCUCUUGGUUCUGGCAUCGAUGAAGAACGCAGCGAAAUGCGAUAAGUAAUGUGAAUUGCAGAAUUCAGUGAAUCAUCGAAUCUUUGAACGCACAUUGCGCUCCCUGGUAUUCCGGGGAGCAUGCCUGUUCGAGCGUCAUUACAACCCUCAAGCUCUGCUUGGUGUUGGGCCCCGCCGCCCCGGCGGGCCCUAAAGUCAGUGGCGGUGCCGUCCGGCUCCGAGCGUAGUAAUUUUUCUCGCUUUGGAGGCCCGGGCGCGUGCUCGCCAUCAACCCCCAAUUUUUUCAGGUUGACCUCGGAUCAGGUAGGGAUACCCGCUGAACUUAAGCAUAUCAAA
rnacentral:rRNA from 1 species